CUCCCUUCAUGUGACUUACACAGCCUUCCUAAACACUUCCUGUAAAGCGUUAUCUAAUGUUUACAGUUCCUUUAUUGCAAAUUCUGUUUAAUUUAGAGUUUCAUAUCUCCUGCUCUAUUAAUAGUUUACUAGACCUUGCAGGAGCCUCUUGUAUGUAAUUAAAGGGACACUAUAGUCACCAGAACAACUACAGCUUAUUGAAUUUGUUCUGGUGAGUAGAAUCAUUACCUUCAGGCUUCAGAGAAAAUGCAGUGUUAACAUUACAGCCUAGUGAUAACUUCACUGGCCACUCCUCAGAUGGCUGUUAGAGAUCCUUCCUGGGUCAAGGCUGCUUAAAAUGCAUCCAAACAUUCAGUGUCUCCUC